CACGUAGGGCGCGAGCGUUGUCCGGAAUUAUUGGGCGUAAAGAGCUCGUAGGCGGCCUGUUGCGUCCGCUGUGAAAGCCCGGGGCUUAACCCCGGGUCGGCAGUGGAUACGGGCAGGCUAGAGGUAGGUAGGGGAGAAUGGAAUUCCCGGUGUAGCGGUGAAAUGCGCAGAUAUCGGGAGGAACACCGGUGGCGAAGGCGGUUCUCUGGCUCAUUACUGACGCUCAGGCGCGACAGCGUGGGGAUCAAACAGG
rnacentral:rRNA from 1 species